GAUGAACGCUGGCGGCGUGCCUAAUACAUGCAAGUCGAGCGAACAGACGAGGAGCUUGCUCCUCUGACGUUAGCGGCGGACGGGUGAGUAACACGUGGAUAACCUACCUAUAAGACUGGGAUAACUUCGGGAAACCGGAGCUAAUACCGGAUAAUAUAUUGAACCGCAUGGUUCAAUAGUGAAAGACGGUUUUGCUGUCACUUAUAGAUGGAUCCGCGCCGGAUUAGCUAGUUGGUAAGGUAACAGCUUACCAAGGCAACGAUGCGUAGCCGACCUGAGAGGGUGAUCGGCCACACUGGAACUGAGACACGGUCCAGACUCCUACGGGAGGCAGCAGUAGGGAAUCUUCCGCAAUGGGCGAAAGCCUGACGGAGCAACGCCGCGUGAGUGAUGAAGGUCUUCGGAUCGUAAAACUCUGUUAUUAGGGAAGAACAAAUGUGUAAGUAACUAUGCACGUCUUGACGGUACCUAAUCAGAAAGCCACGGCUAACUACGU
rnacentral:rRNA from 1 species